UAUCUCUGUAGAGUCUGCAUAUCAAUAAGCGGAGGAAAAGAAACUAACUAGGAUUCCCUUAGUAACGGCGAGUGAAGCGGGAAGAGCUCAAAUUUGAAAUCUUCAAGGUUCUACCUUGACGAAUUGUAGUUUAAAGAAGUGUUUUCUGUUAGAUGAGUAGCAAAAGUUCCUUGGAAUGGGACAUCAUAGAGGGUGAGAAUCCCGUAUUUGGUUAUUCAUUCUAGCUUUGUGAUACACUUUCAAAGAGUCGGAUUGUUUGGGAAUGCAGUCCAAAAUGGGUGGUAAAUUUCAUCUAAAGCUAAAUAUUGGCGAGAGACCGAUAGCGAACAAGUACCGUGAGGGAAAGAUGAAAAGAACUUUGAAAAGAGAGUUAAACAGUACGUGAAAUUGUCAAAAGGGAAGCGUUUGACACCAGUGUUGUUUUUCCGAAAAUCAAUUACGAAUGGCUUGAUUCUGUGUUGUAUUGACCUUAUCAGCUUCCUGCACUUUUUUUCGAGUCUUUCUUAAUGCACUUUUCGGUUAACAAGUCAACAUCAAUUUCUUUUGUUGUAAAAGAGUAUUCGGAAGGUGGCUUUCUUUUCGGAGAAAGUGUUUAUAGCCCUAUACUUCUACAAUCGGAGAGAUUGAGGUCUGCAGCGUAGAUCCUUCGGGGUUAGAUACACUUGUGCUAAGUUGUAGCUUUUCAUAGACAACUUGUUGACUAUGUUUAGUCAUGCGGCUUACUCGCUUAUGCUAUUUUACCUACGCUUAGGAUGUUGACGAGACUGUCGAUCUC
rnacentral:rRNA from 1 species